rnacentral:tRNA from 1 species
CAUAUGGUGGUGCAGUGGUUAGCACUGAAGGAGGUUCCGGGUUCGAGUCCCGGCUGGAUCC